GUCGCUGAAUAGUCGCCGAGUCGUUUUCCAAAAAUCACGGCGUCUCGCGACUAUACAUCGACUUAUGGCAACUAUACAACUUUUCUGGUCGACUAUACAUGAGUCGCAGCCUCGGGCAACUCACUUUUGAGUCGCCACUCAAAAACCAUGUGCCAAACAGAUCUACAUGUUAUGUCAACCAUUUUGUUGCAGAAUUUUACUAUUUCAAUCCUAGCAUGCAGUAUGAUCUGUGGGUAGAGCUUAGUAGGCAGUCUCUUAAUAUUUGUGACAGCAUAGCCUUUUUAAUAUAGAUUUUUUAAUAUUUGUGAUAGCAUAGCCUUUUUAAUAUAGAUUUUGGUGAUAAUGUAUUUCAGAGAGCCCUUUUGUAGAAGGAUAGAACUGAUAUCUAAGCAACUCAUAUAUUUUUAGAGUCCAGUGAAGAGUGCUUCUCUUCCUAGAUUUCCCUGCCGAGCAAUGGUCAUGAUUUCACCACAAAGCUGAACUUCUAGGCGUGAUAAGGUACCGCCCUAGGAAGGCUACAGGGGUUACAAACAGAUCAUUCAGCGAACUGCUCUCGGGACAUCUUACUUCCUUAAAAAUGAUUGCUUGAAGAUAUAUUGCACUCUAGGUAUUGUUGUGUCAACUAUUGAUUACUCCAGGCCACACUCCAUUCAGGUACCAGACUUCAACAUUACCUACCGGUAAGGCAUCAUCAUUUAGCGUUGGCAGGGAGCGCCAUAUAUGUUUAAGUGCAGUUGCUCUCAAAAAAUCCAUAUAUGUUCAAGUGAAGAUCCUCUCAAAAAAAUUAGUAGGUAUAUAUAGUGCCGUAUGCUAUUCUUAUGUUUUAGUCUGGCAUGUAUGUGGAUCCAGAAUUAGAGCAGACUGCAAUCUAUGUGUGGUUUAUUAUAUGUGUAGCGUUGGAUGUUUGUAGUUCAUAGUCUUGAUCAGAUUUCACAAUUAAUUAUUCUUACAUGCUAUGAAAUUUGAAAUCUAACUGUGUUAUAUCAAAUCCAAGGACCAAUGCAGUAUGCGGAAGAAAAGAAUCAUGCAUCAGUUGACCUUGGUACUAAGCACCAACAGGUAGAGAGAGGUAACCCAAUCAGGAAGAAAAGAAUCAUGCCGAUUUGCAAACGAAUCAUGCAUCAGUUGAGCUUAGUACUAAACACAUAAAGUAAAUUUUGUACAUGCCGGUUUGCAAAAGUAUAAAGGAAACACAUGCAGUAAAUUUUGUACAUGCCAGUUUGCAAAAGUUUUAGUACUGAUGGUAACCCAAUCUGGCCUAUUUUGUUCUCUUAAGCAAUUAGAGAGCUUGGAAGCACAUCUAGCUAGCUUAGGUUUCCACGAAAAUGAUUCAGUCACCGUGGGUAUUAAUUCCAGUGGAGGGUUCCCUUUGUGCAUCAUUAUAUCACAUAUAAGUUAUGCAUUGCGUCUAUACAAUCUCCUGCUGGAUGCCACUGAAUUGUUUUCAUGCAUUAUCAUUUUCUAACAUGAUUUGGCAUGGUACAAGACACUUCUUUCCCUAACGGUAAAACAAUAGUGUGAAUGUCAUUGUUUCAGUUGUAGGUGAGGCAUUGCACGACUUGAUCCUUUAUCACCUUGGUUAUGUAUAUUUUCUCUUUUGUUUCUCCUUUCUUCAUACUUUUCCUCUUCUCUAUUUAUUUAUCAAAUCAAGUUGUUUCAGUUCUUGACUUUCAUUUAGAUUAAGCAAGAUACAUCUUCUCACCGCAUUGUCUAGCUUGUGAUUUUGAUUUAUGAGUAUCGAUGCUAAAACUGUUGGAAGAAUAAUCAUGCAAACGUCCAUGCUGAAAGAUUUCUCAGCUCCAUGAUACCAAUAAUGUGUUGUUUGCAUGAAUACAUGGUUCAAACAACUCAACAACAGCCAUACGAGCUAGACAUUAUUGUCGAUGACCAAGAGGCAUCUUCUGAAAACUAGACACUUGGCUUGUUUACUGUCAAAAAAAAUAUGUAACCAUCUACAUCUUCACUUGGUUAUUUAUAAUAAUUCAGCUUUAUGCAUCCUACUUUCUGUGCCAUGCUAUCAUAAUAAAAUAAGCUAACUUUAUCCUCAUUUUAUUAUAGGCAUGCAACGCUCUAUCCAUGUCCAAACAGAGGCCAAGUUAAUAACGUCAUAUGCCUCCGCACUACACUUCCGAAUUGUAUUUCUACAUUGUUUCUAGAUACCCUAUUUCCAUGAAAUGGUUGGGGCCUUGAUUUGAAUAGGCGAGCUCAUGCUAGAGACCAAAGAAAAAAAGCACAUAUCAGGCAUACCCCUGAGGAGUCGGUCCAGUUUAAACUUAGAUACCAAAGCCAUGCAAGCCGUCUAUGCUUCCUACCAGAAAGAAGUAGACACGGAAGGAAGGAGAGCGUCGUCUCGACUGGAUAGAUGUCAGCUGCCCAAAUGAUGCCGAAGCCGAGCCUUCCUCAAGGAGGUCACAUGUGGUGAUGUUCCUUAACAUAAUAGGCAAAUGCAUGGAAAUCAUCGUCCUAUCCCUUGAUUGCAAGGACAACUUGACAAGUACUCAUGGUUUUGCAAGUAGAAAGAAUCAAAUAAUCAUCCCGGCAUGGUGUUCUACUGUGUUUUUAGGCUCUGGCUAUUAUCAAAUGUGUGUCAUGUUUUAUAUUUAAUUGUAUUGUUCCAUCUAUGCUCGAUGGUGUAAUGAAAAUUAUGACGAUAUACAAACAUAUCAGCUAAUCUGCACAUUAAUACAUCCAUCAUGUAUUGUGUGUACGGUGUGCAUCUA